rnacentral:rRNA from 1 species
UCUGGGAUUAGAUACCCUGUUAUUUAAAAUGUUUAUUUAUUUACUUGAGUAGUAAUAGUUAUGUUCUUUAAACUUAAAAAAUUUGGCGGUAUUUUAGUCUAUUCAGAGGAACCUGUUUUAUAAUCGAUAAUCCACGAUGUACCUCACUUAAAUUUGUUAAUUAAUUUGUAUACCGUCGUUAUUAGAAUAUUUUAUAAGAAUAAAUAAUUUUCAAUAAUUUUUAUAAAAAUUAAUGUCAGAUCAAGGUGCAGUUUAUGUUUAAGUAAUAAUGGGUUACAAUAAAUUUAUUUAUAUGGAUAUAAUUAUGAAAAAAUUAUUGAAAGUGGAUUUGAUAGUAAAAUUAAAUAGAUUAUUAAUUUGAUUAUAGCUCUAAAAUAUGUACAAAUCGCCCGUCACUCUCUGA